rnacentral:rRNA from 1 species
UACGUAGGUGGCAAGCGUUGUCCGGAAUUAUUGGGCGUAAAGCGCGCGCAGGCGGUCCCUUAAGUCUGAUGUGAAAGCCCACGGCUCAACCGCGGAGGGUCAUUGGAAACUGGGGGACUUGAGUACAGAAGAGGAAAGCGGAAUUCCACGUGUAGCGGUGAAAUGCGUAGAGAUGUGGAGGAACACCAGUGGCGAAGGCGGCUUUCUGGUCUGUAACUGACGCUGAGGCGCGAAAGCGUGGGGAGCAAACAGG